AACCUGGUUGAUCCUGCCAGUAGUCAUAUGCUUGUCUCAAAGACUAAGCCAUGCAUGUCUAAGUAUAAAUGGUAUACAAUGAAACUGCGAAUGGCUCAUUAAAACAGUUAUAGUUUAUUUGGUAAUCGAAUUUACAUGGAUAACCGUGGUAAUUCUAGAGCUAAUACAUGCUGUAAGCCCGACUUUGCGGAAGGGCCGUAUUUAUUAGAUAACAGACCAAUAUUCCUCGUGUCUAUUGUGGUGAAUCAUAGUAACUAAUCGGAUCGCAUGGGAAUUUCCCGCGACAAACCAUUCAAGUUUCUGCCCCAUCAGCUUUCGAUGGUAGUGUAUUGGACUACCAUGGCUUUUACGGGUAACGGAGGAUUAGGGUUCGAUUCCGGAGAGGGAGCCUGAGAAACGGCUACCACAUCUAAGGGAGGCAGCAGGCGCGUAAAUUACCCAAUCCUAAUUCAGGGAGGUAGUGACAAGAAAUAACGGAUCGGGGUUUGCCCUGGGACUGAAAUGAGAUGAAUUUACACCCCUUUUACGAGAAUCAAUUGGAGGGCAAGUCUGGUGCCAGCAGCCGCGGUAAUUCCAGCUCCAAUAGCGUAUAUUAAAGUUGUUGCAGUUAAAAAGCUCGUAG
rnacentral:rRNA from 1 species